rnacentral:rRNA from 1 species
UACGUAGGGUGCAAGCGUUGUCCGGAAUUAUUGGGCGUAAAGAGCUCGUAGGCGGUCUGUCGCGUCGGCUGUGAAAACCCGGAGCUCAACUCCGGGCCUGCAGUCGAUACGGGCAGACUGGAGUUCGGCAGGGGAGACUGGAAUUCCUGGUGUAGCGGUGAAAUGCGCAGAUAUCAGGAGGAACACCGGUGGCGAAGGCGGGUCUCUGGGCCGAUACUGACGCUGAGGAGCGAAAGCGUGGGGGAGCAAACAGG